GACGAACGCUGGCGGCGUGCUUAACACAUGCAAGUCGAACGGAAAGGCCCCUUUGGGGGUACUCGAGUGGCGAACGGGUGAGUAACACGUGAGUAACCUGCCCUUGACUUCGGGAUAACUUCAGGAAACUGGGGCUAAUACCGGAUAGGAAUCCUUGCUGCAUGGUGGGGGUUGGAAAGCUUCGGCGGUUUUGGAUGGACUCGCAGCUUAUCAGCUUGUUGGUGGGGUAGUGGCUUACCAAGGCUUUGACGGGUAGCCGGCCUGGGAGGGCGACCGGCCACAUUGGGACUGAGAUACGGCCCAGACUCCUACGGGAGGCAGCAGUGGGGAAUAGUGCACAAUGGGCGGAAGCCUGAUGCAGCAACGCCGCGUGCGGGAUGACGGCCUUCGGGUUGUAAACCGCUUUCAGCAGGGGCGAAGCUUGUGGUGACGGUACCUGCAGAAGAAGCACCGGCUAACUACGUG
rnacentral:rRNA from 1 species